rnacentral:misc_RNA from 1 species
AGUUGGUGUAUUAUGAGUUUAUUGCACUUAAUUAAAGCAGAGGUGUAGAGGGAUUUUUUCUGCAUUUUCACCUCAAAGUUAUGCAAGAAAAGGAAAUCUCGUCACAGCCAUUAAGCUUAACAUGAAUCUCUAUAAUCACUUUCUUAAUAGAAGGGCUUAAUUGGAAAGUACAAGACCUCUGAUCCUUCUUUUAAAGAGAAAAGGUGAACAUUCUAUUCGUAACUUUGCUAAAGGAAAUUAAGCAGUGAUGUAGAUUGUUUAAGUACUUGACAAAUAGAUUAUCUGAGACCUGCAAAACAGAGAAGAAUCAAAGAAGUGUCGAAUUUUACUCCACUGACAAUCCUUUAAUGGUCAAGUUAGUAUUCUAUUUUCUACCCAUCUCUCCCAAGGCUUUUGACAGAAGCAGAGACUAGCAAUAUUUACGAGUUAAAGCACACUGGUAUAUUGAUACAUUUCUUCGAUUCGAUCAGUUCUCUGUCAGAAGCAGCAUCACAAGCUUGCUUGGUUCUUGUUGAAGCAAGGAUAAAAUGUGAAAAAUCCUGUUGGCUUGGUAGCUGUGGCAUCUGCCUACGUUCAGGUCACUAAAGCUAACUACUGAGGAAAAAAGAAAAAAAAGCUUUCGGCAAGGCUUUACGGGCAGCAAUUGAUAUAGUCUGCAGCAAUACAUGUUGAAGCUCUGCUCCAUCGAUCCCUUCAUGAGUUUCUGCCUUGACGAGAAUAGAAAUUUUCAACAAAUUUUGCCCCCCACUGGGAAAUUCUUCCUUGGCAUUAGAUAAUCUACGCACGUAAGCUUCAAACUGGGGCAAUAAUCACACUGCCAUCACCAAGAUGUUAGAUGGAUGAUUUUCUUGUUUACAUCCUUUGCUAUGGAAGCAUGGAUUCUUUCAAUGAUAGGAAGCGUAACAUCUUAUUAAUUGACAAGCGUGCAGAUGAUAUAUCAUAGGCAUCAACUAACCACCAAAACGCCAUAGUAUCACAGCAAUAACUAAGGAAUAAAUAUCAAGUUAAUUAAUAAUCUAAUGCCUUAUGGCAAAUUAUUAUAUGAUUAAUUAUUACACUGUCACAAAAUCACAUUAUCAAAACAGCAAGAGGUUGGCCACCAGAUUAAUGGACAAUAGUCAACCCAGUUUACAUAAAA